rnacentral:rRNA from 1 species
CUACGGGGGGCAGCAGUCGAGAAUCAUUCGCAAUGCGCGAAAGCGUGACGAUGCGACGCUGCGUGGAGGAUGAAGGCCCUCGGGUCGUAAACUCCUGUCAGGAGGGAAAAGCCGGCACUUGGUCAAUACCCUUGUGCCCCGAUGGUACCUCCAGAGGAAGCCACGGCUAACUCUGUGCCAGCAGCCGCGGUAAUACAGAGGUGGCGAGCGUUGUUCGGAUUUACUGGGCGUAAAGGGUGCGUAGGCGGCGUGCAAAGCUGGAUGUGAAAUCUCGGGGCUCAACCCCGGAACUGCAUCCGGAACUGGCAUGCUAGAGACCAGGAGGGGAGAGUAGAAUUCUAGGUGUAGCGGUGAAAUGCGUUGAUAUCUAGAAGAAUACCGGUGGCGAAGGCGGCUCUCUGGAAUGGUUCUGACGCUGAGGCACGAAAGCGUGGGGAGCAAACAGGAUUAGAUACCCGGGUAGUC